GAGGAUUCAGAGCAAAGUUUUCCUCACCUGCAAGUCACUCCUUAGUGCAGAGAAGCCCUUGCUGCCAGGUCUUAUUUACUGCAUAACAUGCAAGAGAAGCUUUAAAAAAUAAUACUGUAACCCAGGCUCUGUCUCAGACACACAGAACGAGAGAUUCCAGACGUAGAACCUUGAAAUCUGUAGCAGCAACAACAAAAGUCUCCAGGUCUUGUAUGGAAUGAACUCUGAACUCUACAGUCUUGCCCUGGAGAAUACCUUCUGGAAGCCAGGCCGACAGUGGGAUGUGUCUAUUUACCUUCUUUGCCGAGAAAGAAAGCCUGAAAGCACGGAGAAGGAGUCUCCUGCCGGAAUGCUGACAAGAAGAUUUUACAAGAGUAUUUCACUGCAUUUUCACAUACUUAGAUUACUAAAGUUUGGGUAAACAAAUAAAAGGCAAAAAAAGAAAAGAAACAAAGAGAAAGUGCUGAAAUGACUUCUGUCUGUGAUGAAUCCACAUAUUUGGAGUUUGGAGUGUGUUUGUGCAACCAGCACUACUCUUAAUAGAAGAAAAUAGAAGAAGAGUCUCCUUAUACAUCUUAAAAAUAAUCUGGAAACUGAAAGCUAGUUUUAAGAUGACUUAACAAUGGAAUAAUUAAUUUUUAUUUGUUUACUGACUUAUUUUGUCUUUUGGAGACAGGAUCUCCCUAUGUGGUUCAGGCUAGCCUUGGGUUCACUUUGUAGCCCGGGCUGGUCUCGAACUAACAAUGAACUUCCUGCCUCAGCCUUCUGGGUGCUGGAACUACAGGAGUGGGCCACCACGCCUGGCUGGGAUAAUUCAAGCGUUCUUUCCUGAUCACCUGUGUUUUACACUUUGUACUGAUCUCAGCAGCGAUUACUGUAUCCUGGGUAUGGGGAAGGAGCAAUUCAAUAGUAAACUCUGCCGAGAGUCCUCAAUGCAAAAACUAACUGUGGAGCUGAGUUGGCCACUGGGAAGUAAAGAAGGAAGGAAAGGAAGCCUUUCUGUUUAAGAGAUGGUGCUGGGGAUAAAGGGAGCCGAGGGUGAAACGGUAAGGUCUGUAUGGCUUGAUUUUCUUCCCCUCAGUCCCUUGACUCUGGAAUAGCUAAGGAAAAGCAAAUCAGAAAUCUGUGUGUAUCUUCUGUAUUUCCAGAGACUCCCACAACAGCAUACAGCCUCCCCCUCAAGCGCUGUGAAGGCCAACUAAAAGGUCAAGCCUCUUAGCCUUUAAUUUUAAUUGCAUCAUCUAAAUUAAUCUGCGUUGCAUGCUAAUCAGCAGCUCCAUUUGAGAAUUAUAUAUGGCAUUGAUUUCUAAUGAUAAGAAACAUAAACCCUGUCACUUAUUAAAAACAGUUUGGUAGACAAAAGUUCUUUCUAAGAUGGGAUGGAGGAAGAAGAUGUAAUGGAGUAUGUGAGGUUUUCACAUGAUCUUCUCUGCCAGUGACACAGCAAACCUUUUAGAGCUGUCAAUGAUAAAAGCCUGCAGGAGACCCAUGACAUAGGUUCACCACCGCAGUCUUAUGCCUUUUGGAAGCAGGACAUCCACUGCCAUGCUUGGGUUCUGCAUCUUGCUGAGAAUCAGCUGGAAUAAUAGAUCCCCAUCUUUCAGGCAACACUGCCUGUGAGUUCCCUUCACUCUUUCUUACUCUUUAGCUUUUAUAUACAUGUUUCACUCAUGUCUCCUCUUUGAGAUACAGGAAGCAAGAAUGUUUGCAGUCCUCUCUCGCUUCUUAAAAUAAUCAUAUUUCAGUAAAGUUAAUGAGAACUCAGAGCAGUAUCCAAGCACACUAAAUAAAAGGUUUCAUCUUAGGGUAAGGAAUCUAGGGCCACCUUCCUAGGACAAAGUUGCUGUGUCUUCUGAAUUACAACUCAAUUUAGUGACAUCUGUGGAUACUUACGAAAUGUAAGAUAUGGGGCCCAACUUUCAUUUUCAAUGAAAUGAAACAUUUCGAGAAGAGAGACCAGAUGGCUUUGGUGCCCCUUUAUCUUUUCUCCUCACUGUUUCACAACUUUUUCUAAAUAGCAGUAGUAUUUGGUUUUGACUAUAAUGCCAGCAAGCUCAUUACUUUUCCAUCUAUGUUGUCAUCUCUGUAAUGCUGGUUUUUUUUUUUAAUCUGUAAGAUUAGAGUGAACAGUGAUGCCCUUCAAGGCUUCCAUGAAAGUAAAAUGAAGUGAUGCAUCUACAACACAGAGCACACAUUAAGUGACUGCUGCUCACGAGGGUGGCCAGGAGGAGUGCUGGUGACGGCUUAAAUCCGAAAUGAGCACAAUCAGGUGCACAUUUUUUUCUCUUACUGUUAUCAGUUUUGUGAUCUCAGGCUAGUAACCUCUUAGGACUUCUCUUCCCGGUAUGUCAAGUGAAAAUAAAAUUUAUUUAUAGAAUAUAUGUGAAAAAAAUUGAUAGUUAUAUGGGAAAGGCCCAGCACAAUGCCCAGACCAUGGAAUCAGAAAUGUUCUCUCUUCCAUUCUGGGUGGUGAGAAAUCUGGAAACAGAGAGUUCAUGGAAUGAUUUGUUAUUGUAUCUGCAGUAUGUAAGGCACAGCUUGGAACCUCGGAGGCCCAUAAUAUUUACAGAACUGAAUUGAAUUUUUAAAAUACCUAUGGAGUUAAGCUUAUUCAUUCAUUGCGUAGACUGCCUAGUGACUCGGUCCAAGAUUUUUCAAAUAAAGAUACAUAUAGAUUUGAAGCAUGAGAUAUCUGGAAAAUCAAGACCCAGUUUCCAGUGGUCUGUGAGCUCAUCAUGCUGUGUUGCACCUAAAUCCGGGGUCGUUAGUGUCUGCAUCAUGGGCAUCUGCUGCGGAAGUUGGAUGAUCUCUGUCCUAGGGCUCAGAUGUAACAUGAAUUGGCAGCAUACCAAAUGCCUGCUUAUUAAUCUUUGGUUCCACCGGGCAAAUUCUUCUUACUCAUCUAGUUCUGUACUCCACGCUUGGAUUCCAUGGUGUUCUGACUCACUUAUGAGUGCAGGGUAUGAAAUGCUUCCCUAAUCAGUUACGAGACCACUUAUGGCUCCAGAGAUGAUCACAGCUAAAGAAGACUGGGUGACCAGCUCAACCAACUGACAGUGAAGGAUAGGCAAUAGGCGAAUCUUGGUGUUAGAGUUCUCACUACUGCCCAUCUGUUGCAGGGUGCAUUCUGAGUAAGAAUCUGGGCAAGGAAAUCUACUUUGGACCCAAGGAUGUAGAAUUAACAGAAAAUUGAUGUCUUCCGAUCCCCUCCUUUUUUUAUCACUAUCCCAAAUAAACUUGCAGUAUAUUCAUUCCUUGGUCAGUGGGAUUGUUCCCAAGACUGAGCUAUUGCAGAUUGUGCUGCUGUAAACAUGCAUGCACAUAUAUCACUGUGAUAUAGUGUUUCCAAUUAUUCUGGGAAGAAACCCAGAAGGAGUAUAGGUGGGUUUAAUGGGACCUCUCACCCUAGUUUUUUGAGGAAUCUCCAACACUGAUUUCCACAGUGGUUGCACCAGUCUGCACUUCCACCAACAGUGAAAAAGGAUUUCUUUUUC